GAAUCGCUUGAACCUGGGAAGGGGAGGUUGUAGUGAGCCGAGAUCAGGCCAUUGCACUCCAACCUGGGUGACAAAGCAAGAAGGCUCUGUCUCAAAAAAAAAAAAAAGAAAAGAAAAGAAAAAAGAAAGUAGGACAGUAAAAAACUUAGCAGCUGAAUUGCCUUAAAAUUAACCAGCAGAUUUUAUGUAUUUGUUCAAUAAUCAAGUAUAGUUAAAUUGCUUGAAGUCAUUUUAAUGUUUAAAAAAAUACUAAAAGAGGCCAUUGAAUAGUCAUGGAAAAAGAAAGCAAAUUAUUGUUUUUCUUUAAGUAUCAGUUCAUCUGAUAGAUGUGGGUUACCACAAAGCAUUGGUGGCUCACCAAAAAUUGCCUGUUGGUAGCCUGUGUUUGCAAACUGAUACCUCUCUAUUUCAUGGAGUGAUAUCAAUUAGGUUAUACUUAAAUACUUCAAAGGCUUUUGAUUGUUUAUUGGUUUGGGUUUUAAAUUAGUACAUGUUAAUUGUUGAAUUGGGUAGCCACAUUUUGUUUGUCUUAUGUAUAUUUAAACAAUGUGACCAAAAAUACUUUUUCCAUUUGUGGCAGCAAUAUGAAUAAUGGAACAUUGUGACCUUCUAGAGAAGUAUUUUCUGUUAGUAUUACAGAAUAAUGUAAUUAGGCGCUAUAUGGAACUUGAAAACAUACUUAAAUUUUUGUUCUGGCUGUGGUUUCAUGCUUUCCUAAAAUGUGGCCUGUAACAGUUUAUUAGUAAAUACGCUGAAUUGCUUUCUUUGGCAAGUGCAUUUCGGUAUUGGAUCCAAGUAAAAACACAAAUAUUUACUUAUAAAAGUCAUUUGGUGUAGUAAUAUUUUUCCUAUGGCCACUGACCCACUAGUGAAAUGUUAGGGCAUUGCUAGAUUGGAUCCUGUUUAUUUAAAGGCCAAGAGAGGGAGAGAAAGAGAAAGCUAACAUUAAUCGAAUGCCUAUUAUGCCAUCAUAUUUGGUACACUAUUAUCUCUUUUUUGCUUUCCCAACAACUUGGGAAAUUUAUAUUAUCUGUUUUUCCAGCAAGAAAAGUAAUGCUCAAAGAAGUUUAUAGAAAUUGAGAAGCUGAUUUUUAAAUCUCUGAAAAUGUAAACAAUCCAAAAUAGCCAAACCAAUUUUCAAAAAGAACAAAGUUGAGAUUCUUGUAUUAGCUGAUUUUAAGGCUUACAGUAAAGCUACAAGACAGUGUGGUGGUGGAGAAGAGCUGCACAUAUAAAUCAGUAGAAUAGGGUAAAGUCCAGAAAUAGACCCAUACAUAAAUGGUCAAUUCAUUUUUGACAAGGCAAUUUAAUGGAGAAAGGAAAAUAUUUUCAGCAAACCAUGCUAAAACAACUAGGUUUCCAUAUAGAUAAAAAAAUGAGCCUUGCUUAAAAGGAUCGUAGACCUAAAUAUAAAAGCUAAAACUGUAAAACCUAUAAGAGCUUUCCAGUGUGGAGUCUGGAGACAAUGUGCAGAAAUGGCAUCUCGAAAAGGGAAGGAAAAGAAGGAAGAACAGGUCAUCAGCCUCAGACCUCAGGUGGCUGAAGGGGAGAAUGUAUUUGGUGUCUGCUAUGUAUUUGCAUCCUUCAAUGACACUUUUGUCCAUGUCAUGGAUCUUUCUGGCAAACAAACCAUCACCAUGUGACUGGUGGGAUGAAGGUGAAGGCAGACCGAGAUGAAUCCUUGCUAUGUUGGCCACCCAGGAUGUGGCCCAGAGGUGCAAGGAGCUGGGUAUCAUUGCCCUACACAUCCAACUCCGGGCCACAGGAGGAAAUAGGACCAAGACCCUUGGACCUGCGGCCCAGUUGGCCCUCAGAGCCCUUGUCUGCUUUGGUAUGAAGAUCAGGAGGAUUGAGGACGCCACCCCCAUCCCCUCUGACAGCACUCACAGGAAUGGGGGUUGCCGUGGUCGCCGUCUGUGAACAAGACUCCUCAAAGUAUUUUCUGUUAAUAAAUUGCCUUCAUUUAAAAAAAAAUAAAAAA